rnacentral:rRNA from 1 species
CCUACGGGUGGCAGCAGUGAGGAAUAUUGGUCAAUGGACGAGAGUCUGAACCAGCCAAGUAGCGUGAAGGAUGACUGCCCUAUGGAUUGUAAACUUCUUUUAUAUGGGAAUAAAAUGUUCCACGUGUGGGAUUUUGUAUGUACCAUAUGAAUAAGGAUCGGCUAACUCCGUGCCAGCAGCCGCGGUAAGACGGAGGAUCCGAGCGUUAUCCGGAUUUAUUGGGUUUAAAGGGAGAGUAGGGGGAUUGUUAAGUCAGUUGUGAAAGUUUGCGGCUCAACCGUAAAAUUGCAGUUGAAACUGGCAGUCUUGAGGACAGUAGAGGUGGGCGGAAUUCGUGGUGUAGCGGUGAAAUGCGUAGAUAUCACGAAGAACUCCGAUUGCGAAGGCAGUUCACUGGACUGCAACUGACACUGAGGCUCGAAAGUGUGGGUAUCAAACAGGAUUAGAUACCCGUGUAGUC